GACGAACGCUGGCGGCGUGCUUAACACAUGCAAGUCGAACGGAAAGGCCCUGCUUUUGUGGGGUGCUCGAGUGGCGAACGGGUGAGUAACACGUGAGUAACCUGCCCUUGACUUUGGGAUACUUCUGGAAACCUGGGCUAAUACCGGGAUAGAACUCCUUCUUCAUUGGGGGGGUUGGAAAGUUUCGGCGGUUGGGGAUGGACUCGCGGCUUAUCAGCUUGUUGGUGGGGUAGUGGCUUACCAAGGCGUUGACGGGUAGCCGGCCUGAGAGGGUGAACGGCCACAUUGGGACUGAGAUACGGCCCAGACUCCUACGGGAGGCAGCAGUGGGGAAUAUUGCACAAUGGGCGGAAGCCUGUUGCAGCAACGCCGCGUGCGGGAUGACGGCCUUCGGGUUGUAAACCGCUUUCGCCUGGGACGAAGCGUGAGUGACGGUAAUGGGUGAAGAAGCACCGGCUAACUACGUG
rnacentral:rRNA from 1 species